GAUGAACGCUGGCGGCGUGCCUAAUACAUGCAAGUCGAGCGAACGGACGAGAAGCUUGCUUUUCUGAUGUUAGCGGCGGACGGGUGAGUAACACGUGGAUAACCUACCUAUAUGACUGGGAUAACUUCGGGAAACCGGAGCUAAUACCGGAUAAUAUUUUGAACCGCAUGGUUCAAAAGUGAAAGACGGUCUUGCUGUCACUUAUAGAUGGAUCCGCGCUGCAUUAGCUAGUUGGUAAGGUAACGGCUUACCAAGGCAACGAUGCAUAGCCGACCUGAGAGGGUGAUCGGCCACACUGGAACUGAGACACGGUCCAGACUCCUACGGGAGGCAGCAGUAGGGAAUCUUCCGCAAUGGGCGAAAGCCUGACGGAGCAACGCCGCGUGAGUGAUGAAGGUCUUCGGAUCGUAAAACUCUGUUAUUAGGGAAGAACAUAUGUGUAAGUAACUGUGCACAUCUUGACGGUACCUAAUCAGAAAGCCACGGCUAACUACGUG
rnacentral:rRNA from 1 species